rnacentral:rRNA from 1 species
UGCGGAGGAUGCAAGCGUUAUCCGGAAUGAUUGGGCGUAAAGCGUCCGCAGGUGGCUGUGUAAGUCUGCUGUUAAAGAGUGAGGCUCAACCUCAUAAAAGCAGUGGAAACUACACGGCUAGAGUGCGUUCGGGGCAGAGGGAAUUCCUGGUGUAGCGGUGAAAUGCGUAGAUAUCAGGAAGAACACCGGUGGCGAAAGCGCUCUGCUAGGCCGCAACUGACACUGAGGGACGAAAGCUAGGGGAGCGAAUGGG